UUUAGAUUGACAAUAAUCUAGGUGAUCGCUGCAGAGGGGGAGAAGAAGGCAAGCAGAGCUUUGCGGGAAGCAUCCAACAUGAUUUCCGAAGGUUCAGCCGCAUUGCAGCUUAGAUACUUACAGACUCUGAACUCUAUAUCUGCUGAGAAGAAUUCUACCAUUAUAUUUCCAGUUCCAAUUGAUGUACUCGGUCUGUUUAU